rnacentral:lncRNA from 1 species
UUGCCAACGAAACCUAGACUAUAUAAAGAUGGAGAAGAUAAAAGACAAGGGAUCUCUUUUUUUUCAUGGAUGAACUUUGGUACUAGAUUAAAAGCAUUACGUAUUCUUUGAUCAUCACAAGAUACAUUCCUUUGUAUUCAUCAUCUUUCAACUCAUCAAUUAAAUCAUAUUCAUUCUUCAAGUUUAUUUACGGGAUUCAGCCCACGAU